GUGGGGAAUAUUGGGCAAUGGGGGAAACCCUGACCCAGCAACGCCGCGUGAAGGAAGAAGGUUUUCGGAUCGUAAACUUCUAUCCUUGGUGAAGAUAAUGACGGUAGCCAAGAAGGAAGCCCCGGCUAACUACGUGCCAGCAGCCGCGGUAAUACGUAGGGGGCAAGCGUUGUCCGGAAUGAUUGGGCGUAAAGGGCGCGUAGGCGGCCUGGUAAGUCUGGAGUGAAAGUCCUGCUUUUAAGGUGGGAAUUGCUUUGGAUACUGUCGGGCUUGAGUGCAGGAGAGGUAAGCGGAAUUCCCGGUGUAGCGGUGAAAUGCGUAGAGAUCGGGAGGAACACCAGUGGCGAAAGCGGCUUACUGGACUGUAACUGACGCUGAGGCGCGAAAGUGUGGGGAGCAAACAGGAUUAGAUACCCGGGUAGUCC
rnacentral:rRNA from 1 species